GACGAACGCUGGCGGCGUGCUUAACACAUGCAAGUCGAACGGAAAGGCCCUGCUUUUGUGGGGUGCUCGAGUGGCGAACGGGUGAGUAACACGUGAGUAACCUGCCCUUGACUUUGGGAUAACUUCAGGAAACUGGGGCUAAUACCGGAUAUGAGCUCCUGCUGCAUGGUGGGGGUUGGAAAGUUUCGGCGGUUGGGGAUGGACUCGCGGCUUAUCAGCUUGUUGGUGGGGUAGUGGCUUACCAAGGCUUUGACGGGUAGCCGGCCUGAGAGGGUGACCGGCCACAUUGGGACUGAGAUACGGCCCAGACUCCUAUGGGAGGCAGCAGUGGGGAAUAUUGCACAAUGGGCGGAAGCCUGAUGCAGCAACGCCGCGUGCGGGAUGACGGGCUUCGGGUUGUAAACCGAUUUCGCCUGUGACGAAGCGUGAGUGACGGUAAUGGGUAAAGAAGCACCGGCUAACUACGUG
rnacentral:rRNA from 1 species